GAUGACGCUGUCGCAGCCUUACCAUGCAAGUCGAACGGCAGCACGGGUGCUUGCACCUGGUGGCGAGUGGCGAACGGGUGAGUAAUAUAUCGGAACGUACCUUGUAGUGGGGGAUAGCUCGGCGAAAGCCGGAUUAAUACCGCAUACCCUCUGAGGAGGAAAGCGGGGGACCUUCGGGCCUCGCGCUACAAGAGCGGCCGAUAUCAGAUUAGCUAGUUGGUGGGGUAAAAGCUUACCAAGGCGACGAUCUGUAGCUGGUCUGAGAGGACGACCAGCCACACUGGGACUGAGACACGGCCCAGACUCCUACGGGAGGCAGCAGUGGGGAAUUUUGGACAAUGGGCGAAAGCCUGAUCCAGCAAUGCCGCGUGUGUGAAGAAGGCCUUCGGGUUGUAAAGCACUUUUGUCCGGAAAGAAAUCCUCUGGGUUAAUACCUCGGGGGGAUGACGGCACCGGAAGAAUAAGCACCGGCUAACUACGUGCCAGCAGCCGCGGUAAUACGUAGGGUGCGAGCGUUAAUCGGAAUUACUGGGCGUAAAGCGUGCGCAGGCGGUUUUGUAAGACGGAUGUGAAAUCCCCGGGCU
rnacentral:rRNA from 1 species